UACGGAGGGGGCUAGCGUUGUUCGGAAUUACUGGGCGUAAAGCGCACGUAGGCGGAUUGUUUAGUCAGGGGUGAAAUCCCGAGGCUCAACCUCGGAACUGCCUUUGAUACUGGCAAUCUCGAGUCCGGAAGAGGUGAGUGGAAUUGCGAGUGUAGAGGUGAAAUUCGUAGAUAUUAGGAAGAGCACCAGUGGCGAAGGCGGCUCACUGGUCCGGUACUGACGCUGAGGUGCGAAAGCGUGGGGAGCAAACAGG
rnacentral:rRNA from 1 species